rnacentral:rRNA from 1 species
UACAGAGGGUGCGAGCGUUAAUCGGAAUUACUGGGCGUAAAGCGUGCGUAGACGGUUAUCUAAGUCGGAUGUGAAAGCCCCGGGCUCAACCUGGGAAUUGCGUCCGAUACUGGCAGGCUUGAAUCCGGGAGAGGGAUGUGGAAUUCCAGGUGUAGCGGUGAAAUGCGUAGAUAUCUGGAGGAACACCGGUGGCGAAGGCGGCAUCCUGGACCGGUAUUGACGCUGAGGCGCGAAAGCCAGGGGAGCAAACGGG